UGGCUCAGAACGAACGCUGGCGGCAGGCCUAACACAUGCAAGUCGAGCGCACCUUCGGGUGAGCGGCGGACGGGUUAGUAACGCGUGGGAACAUACCCUUUUCUACGGAAUAGCCUCGGGAAACUGAGAGUAAUACCGUAUAAGCCCUUCGGGGGAAAGAUUUAUCGGGAAAGGAUUGGCCCGCGUUAGAUUAGAUAGUUGGUGGGGUAAUGGCCUACCAAGUCUACGAUCUAUAGCUGGUUUUAGAGGAUGAUCAGCAACACUGGGACUGAGACACGGCCCAGACUCCUACGGGAGGCAGCAGUGGGGAAUNUUAGACAAUGGGCGCAAGCCUGAUCUAGCCAUGCCGCGUGUGUGAUGAAGGUCUUAGGAUCGUAAAGCACUUUCGCCAGGGAUGAUAAUGACAGUACCUGGUAAAGAAACCCCGGCUAA
rnacentral:rRNA from 1 species